rnacentral:SRP_RNA from 1 species
GCAUGGUGACAGGUGCCUGUAGUCCCAGCUACUCGGAAGGCUGAGACAGGAGAAUCACUUGAGUCCAGGAGAACUGAGCUGUACUACGCUACAACAAUCAGGUGGCCUCACUAAGUUUGGCAUUAAUAUGGUAACCUCCCAGAAGCGAAGGGCACCAGGUUGCCUAAGGAGGGGUGAAAUGCAGCAGGUCAAAGCUCCCAUUCUGAUCAGUAGUGUGAUUGCACCUGUGAAUAGCCACUGCACUCCAGCCUACUGGCAACAUACUGAGACACCAUGUCUU